UACAGAGGUCCCGAGCGUUGUUCGGAUUCAUUGGGCGUAAAGGGUGCGUAGGCGGUCUGCUAAGUUUGAUGUGAAAUCCCGGGGCUCAACCCUGGAAUGGCAUUGAAUACUGGUGGACUAGAGUACUGGAGAGGAAACUGGAAUUUACGGUGUAGCAGUGAAAUGCGUAGAGAUCAUGAGGAAGACCAGUGGCGAAGGCGGGUCUCUGGACAGUUCCUGACACUGAGGCACGAAGGCCAGGGGAGCAAACGGG
rnacentral:rRNA from 1 species